AAAUAAGUAAUCCUAAACCUAGGAAACGUAAACAGUAACAGAAAACAUAUGUAUAUACAGAACAAUGUAAGUAGGCUAUAGAUUGAGAGUAGCUGACCAUUUUGUUGGUGGUGAACGAGGAUCGAUAAGUCGGCGCCUUCCUCUCUCCGCCUCUCUCAGUCGUGUACGAGUUGAAAGGUGUGGAGAUGAGCUUACAACCCUAGCUCCGUGUUCAUAUAUCGCGUCUCUUCUAAGGGCAACUUAGGGCAUUCGCCACAAAUUUAUAAUUCAAACCGGGUAGUUUGUGCCAGUGGAGGAAAUUUUGACCAUUUAAAAAAAAAAAUUGUUAUUUUGCUCAAAUGUUCGACAUCCUCUCACAUGUCGUUGAUUUUACAUGGAUAAAAAAGUUUCAAAAAAAUGUGGGAUCCCCACCAUUAUGAGAGUUGGUCACCACCUCUAUCAAAAAAAUUCGAACACUUUAACGGGAUUGAAAAAAAAAAUGACACAACAAAAUUUACUUGUUGUACCACAUUUUUAAUCAAUUUUUUCAUUUACUUAAAUCACCUCGAGUAGAAUUACUUAAUUACCCACAAUUUUAUAUAAAUUCUUAACGUAAGCAUUUUUUUUUUAAUAUAAUACAUCACAAUCAUGAUCAGAGUAUCCUUUUAGCUUAUACCGUCGCUAUCAUUACCUCCUCCUUCUUCUCCAUCGACAACUUUAUGAAGAAGAAGAAAAGGAAGCAAGAGGGCGUCCCUUCUCUCAACUCCAAUACUACGUCAUCUUGUUUGCUCACCUCUCUUCAUUCUCUCUCUACAAUCUACUGAAUCAACUUCUAAAGAGUGAUGAUAACUAUCGGUAGGGAUUUUGUCAAAUAAAGGCCUUGUACACCAAACAUUAGUGACUUCUAAACCCAUUUUCUAGCCCUUCUCUCUCCAAAAACCCACCAUACUAUAUGAACAUAUAUAAACCUAUAAUCCACACACAAGCAUCUUGUUCAUCGUAAUUGUAAUUGCAGUACCCUUAAUUUUUUGUGGUUUUUUUCUUAGUUAGUAUACAGAUGCUCGAAGAUAAUCAGUUCACAUUACCAAAAUCAAUUUGAAGAUAAAUACUCAGGCAAUUAAUCAAAUAGUUUAACAUGCAAGUAAUUUCAAUUAAAACUAAAAAUCAAACUAUUUCAAUUGACCAUUCCCAAUAAAAAGAAAUGAUCAAUACUAAUGACAUUAUUAACUAAAUGCUACAGAAUUAACAACUGUUCAGAUUAAAUAAAUUAACACUUUUCAAUUCAGAAUCCCAAUUAUUAAAUCCUUGACUUGGACUUAAGAAUACAAGAGAGGAAUGGGUUGUAUGAGUUCAAAGUUAGACCCAUUUGCAAUGGACUAAUCUCAUAAAUGGUAAAAUUAAACAAUUAGAUUACCCUGAAGGUUCAUUCAUCCAUAAGUUUGAGAAGGAGGAAAAUCACGGGCUCCAAUAGCUAAUUUUGACGAUGCCGUUUAUGAUGUCCAAUUGAGAGAGUUUACGGAUUGAAAUCGUUAGGGCAGAGAAUGAGAGAAGAAUGAGGUGAGUUGAUGAAUUAGGAGAAAGAAGUAAUGAUGGCAAUAUCCCCACCUUAGAUGGGGC
rnacentral:lncRNA from 1 species